GCCCGCCACCAUCGCGCCAAGUAUUGUUGCUUAGACGGAUGCGAGAUAUCAGCGGACAGCUGAGGGGUCGAUAAAAAUAAUCGGAACAAACCGGCUCCCACAGAGCACGGCGAAGGAAGGUCCUGAUACCUCGCUUCUGAAUGAUAAACAAACAGCUUUUACUCUGGGCUUUUACUGGGGUAUUUCUAUUUUGGGGGGGGGGGGGUAUGACAGACCAGAAGCAUCUAACUGGACACCAAGGAGACCUCAGGGAACAGGCCACGGUGGUUUAACUGCAGUCGAACUGGAUUCUCAGGAUUUUGAAAUGCUGGCUUCAGUGCUGGGGGGUGUGUGGGGGGGGAUAACUGCACAGGCCUCCAUCCAUUUCAGCUAAACAUAAGUGAGCUUAAUAAUGGGCCCUAGUCUUCUGGUGGAUGCAUCUGGCAUGUCACAGGAAUACAAGAACAUUGAAUUCACUGGGCUGGAGUCUGCAACAAACAAUAAAACCACAGUGAAAGUUUCCAUAAAGACAAGAGGUCCCAUCCAGGAGAAGGAGGUGUACCUGAUACAAUUCUAUUUAAAUAUUAACCUGUGCACGGGGCAAUUAUACUUAAUGAAUAUCUUAAGAUCUCGACUGUCCGAAGACUAAUAAAGAAAGCUGAUCCCUUCCUUUCUAA